CUCUGAGGGUCUGUCAUUUGAUAGGCAGCUGGCUCCCAGCUGGUUGGUCAUCAGUUGGUCAGGUGGGCCACGCUGCUCGGCCAAUCAGGAUCAUCCGGCAGUUGGGCCCUUGGAGACAGAAUCAGUUAAACCGACAAAGCUCCAUAAGGUGGCCCAGCGUCUCAGUGAGUCAGGGCUGUUUGUUCAUCAGGCUCAGUCAGGAGGGCAGUUCGGGAAAGUUCACGGUCAGGGUGGCAGUGAUAGGUCAGCAGGUUGGGGCACGCAGGGACAAAAUGUGUGCCUGCCCUCAGCCUUGGAGAAGUCCAGACACCAGACGAGCUUGUGAGGAUGGGGAAAGUCACCCUCUGCCUGCCAUCAGCCACGAUUCCCUUUGCAUUGCCAGCCGUCCCAGCCUACCACCUCCUCCCUCCAGGGCUGCUGCCCCUGAGAUGGGGCACUGGAGCAAAAGGCUCCCCUAAGAACGAGGACAGGGGACCAGCAUCCCCUCCCCCAGCACCUCUCAGCUCCACACAGACAUGGAUGGAGGCCCAGCUCUGAGGCCCCUGACAGGGCCAUGGUUACUUGGAGAACCAGACACACCCACCACCUGGACCUGGGGCUGAGAGGCUCAGAGGAGGUGACAGGACUAAAGGAUCGGGUCACCAGGCUUCACACACUCAGAGGGUCCUGCAGGUUCCCCGGCCCCUCCCACCAGGCUGCUCCUGCACUGCCCACUCCUCGGAGGGUCUUCAGUGGACAG
rnacentral:lncRNA from 1 species